UUAGGCAGCUGAUAUGUGUGAUAGUUGAUGCGUUAUUUAUGUGAUUGGCUCUUCAUAGUGCUUGUACUCCGUUAUACGCUGAAUAAAUAGUAGAGGAAAGGAUAGUUGUGUAUCUUGUAUCUUUUCUAGAAUUUCUUCUCUGUUAUUUUCUGUUCUUGUAUUGCUUCCUGAAAUUCACAUAACAGGGGACUGAUCCAGAUUUUGGACUCGCUGAAGUGGGUUCCAAAAACCUGUGCGAGGGCAGCCAAAAGAGAAAGGAAUGAUCAGUGAGUUGAUACAUGAAUGUGAUCUUAAUAACCGAGUUAUGAUUAACCUUGUGGAACCAAAGAUGAUGAUGGUAGUGAGAAGUGGGUAUCGUGUGACGCAACUUCUUGCAGACCACCAGAUGUAUUCGCAUCCCAAGUCAUCAGGAAAUUCCUCAUAUAUUUCUUUGCAGCCGUUGUGAACAUGAAAUCAUUAUCUUACCUUCUCUACCACAGCAACAAACAGUUUCCUUUCACUUCUAGUUCAUAUGUUUCAUGUUAAAUAUGAUUAUACUCGAGGAA
rnacentral:misc_RNA from 1 species